rnacentral:rRNA from 1 species
UACGGUAGGCAGCAAGCGUUGUUCGGAGUUACUGGGCGUAAAGGGUGCGUAGGCGGCUUUUUAAGUUUGGUGUGAAAUCUCCCGGCUCAACCGUGGGAGGGUGCGGCCGAAUACUGAGAGGCUAGAGUGUGGGAGAGGGAAAGUGGAAUUCCUGGUGUAGCGGUGAAAAUGCGCAGAUAUCAGGAGGAACACCGGUGGCGAAGGCGGAUCUCUGGGCCAUUACUGACGCUGAGGAGCGAAAGCGUGGGGAGCGAUCCGG